rnacentral:siRNA from 1 species
AUGGAAAAUAUUCAAUGCUCU